GAUGAACGCUAGCGGCAGGCCUAAUACAUGCAAGUCGAACGCUCAGUAGCAAUACUGGGAGUGGCGCACGGGUGCGUAACGCGUACACAAUCUACCUCUAAGCGGGGGACACCUCCUGGAAACGGGGAUUAAUACCGCAUAAUAUGCCGAAGUCGCAUGACUUUGGUAUUAAAGCAGCAAUGCACUUAGAGAUGAGUGUGCGUCCCAUUAGGUAGUUGGUGAGGUAACGGCUCACCAAGCCUAUGAUGGGUAGCCGGUCUGAGAGGAUGGUCGGCCACACGGGCACUGAGACACGGGCCCGACUCCUACGGGAGGCAGCAGUAAGGAAUAUUGGUCAAUGGUGGAAACACUGAACCAGCCAUGCCGCGUGGAGGAAUAAGGUCCUACGGAUUGUAAACUCCUUUUGACGAGGAAGAAAAUGUUAGAUUUAUCUAAUUUUGACGGUACUCGUAGAAUAAAGCACCGGCUAACUCCGUGCCAGCAGCCGCGGU
rnacentral:rRNA from 1 species